GUCUGCUGGUAAAGAUGCUAUUCUUCUCCCCAUUUCCUGUUUCUUAAAUGAGAGCACAAGGAUGGUGAAGUAAGAGAGAGAGAGAGAUCAAAACGAUGGUGAGAGCAAUUAUUCAUGUAAAGUGAACUUUAAUCUAAUUUAUUCCUGCAGAGCUGCCCAGCAGGGCAUUUUAGGUGGUAAGAAGUUUGGUUUGUUGAGCUGUGUAUCUCAGUAUCCACUGGCACAGUUCCUAUUUUUUAACUACUAUUCUUCACAUGGAUUCAUAAAAUCUCACUUGCACCUCUUGGCUCUCUCUCUCUCUCUCU
rnacentral:misc_RNA from 1 species